UACGUAGGGUGCAAGCGUUAAUCGGAAUUACUGGGCGUAAAGCGUGCGCAGGCGGCUUUGCAAGACAGAUGUGAAAUCCCCGGGCUUAACCUGGGACCUGCAUUUGUGACUGCAUCGCUAGAGUACGGCAGAGGGGGAUGGAAUUCCGCGUGUAGCAGUGAAAUGCGUAGAUAUGCGGAGGAACACCGAUGGCGAAGGCAAUCCCCUGGGCCUGCACUGACGCUCAUGCACGAAAGCGUGGGGAGCAAACAGG
rnacentral:rRNA from 1 species